AACGAACGCUGGCGGCAGGCUUAACACAUGCAAGUCGAACGCGUGCAGCAAUGCACGAGUGGCGCACGGGUGAGUAACGAGUGGAUAUCUGCCUUUUGGUUCGGAGUAACCCCGGGAAACUGGGGCUAAUACCGGAUGGUUCCUACGGGAUAAAGAUUUAUCGCCAAAAGAUGAGUCCGCGUCCGAUUAGCUAGUCGGUGAGGUAAUGGCUCACCAAGGCGACGAUCGGUAGCUGGUCUGAGAGGACGAUCAGCCACACUGGGACUGAGACACGGCCCAGACUCCUACGGGAGGCAGCAGUGGGGAAUAUUGGACAAUGGGGGCAACCCUGAUCCAGCCAUGCCGCGUGAGUGAUGAAGGCCUUCGGGUUGUAAAGCUCUUUUGGCGGGGACGAUGAUGACGGUACCCGCAGAAUAAGCCCCGGCUAACUUCGUG
rnacentral:rRNA from 1 species